UCCCAUUUCCACCCUUAAACCCUAACCGGAACCAUUACUCGGCUACUACUUCGUUCAGCUUCUCUCUCGGACGCUUCAAAUCUUCAUUGGGAAAAUGGCUUGGCGCAGUGCAGGAUCCUUCUCCCGCUCCGUCAUCUCCGCCGCAAGGGCUCCUUCGCUUCGCUCCACUCCGCCGCUUCCCCGCCUCCGUCCCCCGACUUCCUCUGCUCCCCGCCUCCAGUCCCGCCGCCUCUCUUAUGCUCCUACUAGAAAUUUAGGAGAAUUGGGAUGUUUCCAAUCAUUCUUGCCUCUGAAUAGCAUGGUUCCCACAGCUCGUCUCACAUCACACAUGACUGUUAAAGUGCGGGCUUGUUGCGAGCUGUCUCACGGUACCUUCCUCCGAACUUGUCAGGAUCGCUAGUAUUCUCUGUGGAGGAAUGGAAAAGAUGGAUGAUGCACGUCGACUUUCAAUCGGCUAAAGGAGGGAGAAUUGUACAACAUUGUACUUGAAAGGCCGUAGAUGAGCACAGCGGAAUGAGGGUGUAUGAGAUUAGAUUGUCACUUUGGGAAUCAGAGGCCAGGUCUUCUGAGUAAACAGAUUAUCAA